rnacentral:rRNA from 1 species
AACGAACGCUGGCGGCAUGCCUAACACAUGCAAGUCGAACGAGACCUUCGGGCACGGUUGCUCACGCGUGUGUAACGCGUGGGAACCUGCCCUUAGGUUCGGAAUAACUCCCCGAAAGGGGUGCUAAUGCCGGAAAAUUUCUCCGGACCCAGGUUUUAUCGCCUUGGGGUGGGCCCGCGUUGUACUUGCUUGUUGGUAGGGUAAAAGCCCACCAAGGCAGCGAUCCAUAGCUGGUCUGAGAGGAGGCUCAGCCACACUGGGACUGAGACACGUCCCGGACAGUGACGAGAGGCAGCAGGGGGAAAUAAUGAACAAUGGGCGAAGGAAUGAAGCACCCGGGCCGCGUAAGUGGUGAAGGACUUAGGGAAGUAAGCCUCUUAUACCCGGGAUGAUAAUGACAGUACCGAGAGAGUAGGCUCCGCCGAGCUCCGU